AGCAGCCGCCGCGGUAAUACGGAGGGAGCUAGCGUUGUUCGGAAUUACUGGGCGUAAAGCGCGCGUAGGCGGUUACUCAAGUCAGAGGUGAAAGCCCGGGGCUCAACCCCGGAACUGCCUUUGAAACUAGGUGACUAGAAUCUUGGAGAGGUCAGUGGAAUUCCGAGUGUAGAGGUGAAAUUCGUAGAUAUUCGGAAGAACACCAGUGGCGAAGGCGACUGACUGGACAAGUAUUGACGCUGAGGUGCGAAAGCGUGGGGAGCAAACAGGAUUAGAUACCCCCGUAGUCCCUGUCUCUUAUAA
rnacentral:rRNA from 1 species